UACGUAGGGUGCGAGCGUUAAUCGGAAUUACUGGGCGUAAAGCGUGCGCAGGCGGUUUUAUAAGCCAGAUGUGAAAGCCCCGGGCUCAACCUGGGAAUGGCAUUUGGGACUGUAAGGCUGGAGUAUGGCAGAGGAGACUAGAAUUCCUGGUGUAGCAGUGAAAUGCGUAGAUAUCAGGAGGAAUACCGAUGGCGAAGGCAGGUCUCUGGGCCAAUACUGACGCUGAGGCACGAAAGCGUGGGGAGCAAACAGG
rnacentral:rRNA from 1 species